rnacentral:rRNA from 1 species
UACGAAGGGGGCUAGCGUUGUUCGGAAUCAUUGGGCGUAAAGAGCGUGUAGGCGGCCCGGUAAGUCCGCUGUAAAAGUCAAAGGCUCAACCUUUGAAUGUCAGUGGAUACUGCCGGGCUAGAGUCCGGAAGAGGCGAGUGGAACUCCUGGUGUAGCGGUGGAAUGCGCAGAUAUCAGGAAGAACACCAACGGCGAAGGCAGCUCGCUGGGACGGUACUGACGCUGAGACGCGAAAAGCGUGGGGAGCGAACAGG